ACCUGCAAAUUAAUCAACUUAGUGGCUCUAUACCACCAUCUAUUUUUAACAUUACUACAAUGCAUGUGAUUGCUCUUACGGACAACAAUCUUACUGGAAAUCUUCCUAUAACUAUAUGUGAUCAUCUUCCAGACUUGAAAGGACUUUACCUCCGUAAAAACUCCCUAGAUGGAGUUAUUCCACCAAACCUGGAGAAAUGCAGAAAGCUUCAAAAAUUGGAAUUGGGUGACAAUGAGUUUAUUGGAACUUUACCAAGAGAGCUAGCUAACUUAACAGCUCUUACAUAUUUAUAUAUUUCAGAUCUGCAUUUGAAAGGUAGUAUGAAAUUUUCUUCUUUUUCUCUUUUCCAACCAAACUUGGAACUCAUGAUAUAUUUCCUGAAAAUUGACAGGUGAGAUACCAAUGGAGUUCGGUAAUCUUCAGAAACUUCACGAGUUGGAUUUAGCACACAAUGAGCUAACUGGCUCUGUUCCUCACAACAUUUUCAACAUGUCAGCACUGCAGAAUAUAGAUUUUGGAGAAAAUAAGCUUUCAGGAUCAAUUAAAGACAGAACAUAAAGAAUUAGAAGACUAGCUACUUGAACCAGCAGCUACAGUUCCUACUGCUCCAGUUUCCUGCAGGGAAGCAAGCUGCUCAGCCCACUCCUUAUAAGUGAAAAUGCAGGUAAUUGAAUUUGAAUUUGGCCAGAAGUAAACUCGAUCUAUUGUGGCAAAAGAUGAAGAAAUUUUUGUAUUGUUGUCAUAUACGUUUGAAUGACACUUUCGGGUUUUUGGAACUUGUUG